rnacentral:rRNA from 1 species
UGAGUGGCGGACGGGUGAGUAACGCGUGGGCAACCUGGCCUGUACAGGGGGAUAACACUUAGAAAUAGGUGCUAAUACCGCAUAACGGGAGAAGCCGCAUGGCUUUUUCCUGAAAACUCCGGUGGUACAGGAUGGGCCCGCGUCUGAUUAGCCAGUUGGCAGGGUAACGGCCUACCAAAGCGACGAUCAGUAGCCGGCCUGAGAGGGUGAACGGCCACAUUGGGACUGAGACACGGCCCAAACUCCUACGGGAGGCAGCAG